AACUAGCCGGUACUCGCCGAAUGCAUCUAGAUUUAGAGUUUGAUCAUGGCUCAGAUUGAACGCUGGCGGCAGGCCUAACACAUGCAAGUCGAGCGGCAGCACAAGUAAGUUUACUUAUGAGGUGGCGAGCGGCGGACGGGUGAGUAAUGCCUAGGGAUCUGCCCAGUCGAGGGGGAUAACAGUUGGAAACGACUGCUAAUACCGCAUACGCCCUACGGGGGAAAGAGGGGGACCUUCGGGCCUCUCGCGAUUGGAUGGGAAAAAAAAAAAAAUACCCCCACAACCCCUAUCAAUACACAAGNAUUUUUUUUUUUUCACAAAAAACAAANNGGACAAAAUGGGGGGGGGUCGAUAAAUUUUUUUUUGCGUGGGGGGGCACACNGGGGGGGGUUGUGGGGGGGACAAAAAAAAAAAAAAUUCUUUUUUUUUUUUUAUCAUUUUUUAACAACAACAAUAGAGAGGGGGCGAACCACCCCCCCACACAACAACACUUUUUUUUUUUUUUAAG
rnacentral:rRNA from 1 species